GCUGGGCAUGGUGGUGCACACCUGUAGUUCCAGCUACUCGGAAAGCUGAGGUGGGAGGAUUGCUUGAGCCCAGGAGCCCAGGAGCUCAAGGCUUUAGUGAUCGAGUCAUGCACUGUGAUCGAGUCAUGCACUCCAGCCUGGGCAACAGAGCAAGACCCCCUCUCUU
rnacentral:sRNA from 1 species